UGGUCAUUUUAGUUUUUGAGUGCUAUUUUUGUGAUAUAAACUUAGAAAUGUGCUAUUUUGGAGAUUUGCCUAUUUUUAAAAAUAGAAAUAAAUUGUUUCAACAUGGUUUUUAACAAAUAGUAAAAUUAAUUAAUUAGUUAUAUAAAUAUAUUUAUUUUUAAUUCUUUUAUGACUUGAAUUUAAUUUUGAACAAAAAGAAAAAUAAGAUAAUCAGUAUUAUCAUCAACAUGUAUGUCACAUAUUUUAAUAUUUCAUUUUAAUAAUUUAAAGAUAUAUAUAUAUGUGCAUGUUAUGUAUUAUGUAAAUGUAAAUAAAUUGACUUGAAAUGAAUAUUAAAUUUAUUUAUCAUCUUUUGUAAUUUAGACACAUUGAAUCAAUUGAAAAGAUUACGAAAAAUAUUUACCGCUUCCUAUUAAAAAUAAAAACUAACAUAGUUUAUUUAAAAAAAAUAAAUGUAGUUAUACUAAUAUAAUUAUAUAAGACUUUCAGUUUUCAAUUGAAAAAAAAAAUUAUUUGAUGACUAAUGUUAUUUAGUCAAAAUUUAUAGUAUAGUAAAUUUAACAUUUUAAGCAAUUACUUUGUAAUAAAACCAUAAUAGCUAAUACAUAAAAAUAUUUAAAUUUAACGAUAAGUUAUAUUAGAUUGUUAAUAUAUAAUUAACAAAGUUGAUAUAAGAAAACGAAUGUUAAAAAUCACAAUUUGAAAAUUAAUCAUCACCUUUAUCUUUAAAACCUUAAUUAUUUAUUCGGAUAACAUAGUAUACUGGUAUUAAAUAAAUAUUUUAUAUAAAAUUCAAAUGUACUCUAAUUGGUAACAAUCAAUAUUAUGUUAUCAUAUUGCAGACAUAACUAAAAAUAAUUUUUGCCAUAGACCCAUAGUAAAUUUGCUAUUUUUGUGUCGAAUAAAUGAGUGGUGGAAAGUGGGUUAAACCCAUCUUACUCGACCCGUCCCGAUGAGGUUGAAUCAGUUUUCAAUUUUAUAAUUUAAAAUUUUGAUCCGCCUGUAUGGAGAAAAUAUUACACCGUACUUGCAUCUCUUAAUUUUGCGGAUGAUCUAGAUAACAAUUUACAUAUUAUACAAAACGAAUACAAAAUAUUCCAUACUACGCGAACUGGCCCUAGUAAUUAUAUAUGUAAAACUCGUCCAAGGUAACUAACAAACUAUUUAGAUUUAAUUAUAUAACUUUAUUAAAACAUAAGUACAAAUAAAGAAUACCUUUUAGAGUUGCACAAUAUUUACAAUCCAAUAGCACUGAGAAUUUAAUAAACAUAUCAUUAAAAAAUGAUUUUCUUUUUCAGCUAUUAAAUGUUUUUCUAAAAUGAUCAAUCUAUAUAAAUAAUAAAAACUGAAUAUCAGCCUCAAUGAGCCUGUCCACGUAGGACAUUUAAAUUACCCAAUCAGAGAGCAAGGUUUUGCCAUGUCACUACCUUUGUUGGGCUCACGGUUUUUUGGUGUGUAUUUGUUACGAUUGGGCUCAAGCCCAUGAAACCAUUAUAGACGGCGAACAAACAAUCGCACCCUUUCACGUUUCUUCAAACCCUAAAUCAGAUCGAUUCUCAUCCCCUUUCCUCUUCCUCUUCUUUGAUCUGUUCCACGAUAUGAUUCAUGAACAAUCAAUUCAUCCUCCACUUCGUUCUCCCUUUACUCUCAUUUAUGGAUUCGUUUUUCUUUUCUUUUGUUUAUAAAGCUCUUAAACGGAGUUUCGUUUCGAUUAAGCUUCGUCGUAAAUUUUCAUUCGUAUAUUGCGAUGAGUUCCACCGGAAAAUCCAACUCGGAGAAACCACAAUGCAUUGAGGGUGACUCCUUUCCCGGACCGAUAAGCCCAUCGGCGAUCCCCACUCGAAGCAAGCCAAAGGCGAAGCGUCCUUCUCCUCCGGUCUGACGAAAUCAAAGGCUGACUCCUUUCCCGGACCGAUCAAGCCCAUCGGCGAUCCCCACUCGAAGCAAGCCAAAGGCGAAGCGCCGGUCUCCUCCGGUCUGACGAAAUUAAAGGCUGACUCCUUUCCCGGACCGAUCAAGCCCAUCGGCACACCUGAUUCAAAGAACCGCAAAGGUACGAUCAAUCACAACACGAAGACUGGUGUCUCUUCAGGCGUUAGAGGCAAAGCCGCUGUCUCCUCUGGCGUCAGGGGAAAAGCCAUUGUCUCCGCCGAAGUGAUGGCUUUCAAAGAUGUGAAAUACGGACCUCAUGACGGCGAGCUAAGGUUUCGGUUGAUCCAUUUUUGGGAAGCUCGAAAUGUUGUGACGAAGGUGCUUAUCGGUCUCGAGAUGCUUCUCAUCGAGCAAGAGGUAUAAACCGAAUUCUUGAUUGCGAUUUAGUUUAGAAAUUGUUCAGACAAGAUGCUGAUAAACAAUUUAGAUUCAAACUUAUCGCUCUAUUAUUUUGUUCUUUGUCUGAUUUAUAGCAAGUGUUUGGUUUUGUUGAUAGUACAAUAAACCGAAUUCUUGAUUGCGAUUUAGUUUAGAAAUUGUUCAGACAAGAUGCUGAUAAACAUUUUAGAUUCAAACUUAUCGCUCUAUUGUUUUGUUCUUUAUCUGAUUUAUAGCAAGUGUUUGCUUUUGUUGAUAGUACAAUAACUAUAAUUUUGUUGUUGAUGCAUUUCUGAUUUAAUUUCUUUAAUGUUGAAAAUAGGAGACUGUCAUCCAGGGUUACAUCCCAGCUGGGAGGAUAGACACUUAUUUGCCACACAUGAGAGCUGGUGGCAUUUACAGGCUCAACAGUUUUUUCGGGUCUAACAACAAGACUUUGUAUCGUGUUGCGGAACCAAGUUUCACCAUCACAUUCUCAUCGACUUCUGUCCUCUCUGAUCUAGAGGACAGUUCGGUAUGUUUCCCUGAGGACCGUUUCCGGUUCCAUGGAUAUGAGGAGUUCGAUGCUGCAUGCGACUUGAAAGGGGAUCUUUAUGGUAAGUUCUAACUGUUUUAUAGGAUAAUAUUUAAUCUAAUCUUGGAUCAACCGUUUUAAUUCGAUCAAAUAUAUUCAGCACUCUUUGUCUAGGAUAGUGUUAUGAUCCAUACUUACGUUUUUAGGUUACAUUGUUGGGUUUAUGAUACAUAAAGCAUUGAGUUUGUUUGUUUUAUUUUGCAGAUUUUGUUGGCCACAUCAAGCUUGUGAAUGGGCAGAUUCUCAGUGACAGUCUCGUGCUAGAUGAUGCAGAGAAAGCUUCAUCACGCCGAGUUCUCCUUCAUGUUCAAACACACGAGUAAGCUAAUAUGUAUCGUUUUCAUAUUCAUGUGUUGUCUCUCUUAUCACACGUGUUUUGUAUGUUAUAGCGGUCCAGUGAUGAAGUUGUACCUAUGAGACAAGGCUGCCUCCGACUUUAGUGAGAAAUUUAAAGCAUCUGGAGGAACUGCACGUGUUAUUUUAGUCACUACCUUAAACCCAAAACGUUUUGGAGGUCCGUAUUAGCAACUUUUUUUUAUUGUUUAGAAGUACAUAGGAUGGUCAAGGAAUCUUAUCUGGUUAGGUUAGCUUUGAGUAAUAGAACUGCAUUUGGUAAAAAUUGGAGCUUUAUGGCCAUGAGGAACUGAUGGGUUCGGAGAUAGCAAAUUCUACGUAUCAUUUUACAUUAUAACUUUGCAUUUGUAUUAUAACAAUGGAUCUGUUAUAGGUGCCCUAGCUAUCUCCUCUGUGACGCCAUCACGUGUGUUUUUGGACACUGAUAUUCAAGAAACCCGAGAUUAUCUCACUUGGAUGAACAAGAACCUAGCUGUUGCUAACAGAGUUGAUGCAGACAUUGUCACUAAGACUGAGACAGUGACCAUAGGCGAGCUCUUUUCCUAUAUGAAGCAGGAAGAUGCCAAGGUUGCUUGGUUUGAGUGCAUAGCAACCAUUGGUGAUGUUGCGCACGGUUCAUCAUGGUAUUAUAUAGGCUGUGGUGGGUGCCACACUAAGGCAACCAAAGGGCCUACCAGCCUUAUGUGUAAGAAAUGUGGGAAAACCGAUAUUGUUGGGGUUGCACAGUAAGUGACUCAGAUCUACUUAAACUCAUACUUCAAUGCACCAUGUUUACUCUGCUCAUGACACAGGUACCUGGCCAAGAUCUCCGUGUAUGAUAAUGAUGAUCAAGCGUUUUUUGUGCUCCUUGGUGGUGCUGGACAUGAGUUAUCUGGAAAGAAAGCUUCUGAGUUGGUUGAGAAUUAUUUCGAGGCCAAUGAGAAUGUAGGAGAUGAUCACUUGGUUCCGGUACCUCAAGCUCUUAUCGAUACCAUAGGACAGACUCGCAAAUUCAUUGUGAAGGUGUCAAAUCACGAUUUAAUUGGCAAGACUCAAGCUCUGACUGUGACAAAGGUGCUCACUCCAGAAGUUCCAGAAGUUGAAGCCAAUUUAGAAGGAAAUGUGGUUGUGCCAGACGCACAGGGAAAUUUGCACAAGGAAGUUGCUGAUGAUGAUCCUUCCACAAGCUUUGGGAGUGUGAAGAGGGCUGCUGAUAAUGUUGAGGUAGAAGAUCCCAAGCGAGCCAGAAGUGGCUAGGAUGUGUUAAGUGUUGUUUUUUAUGGUUACUAAAACUCUAUGCUUUGGUUUUUUCAAUCUCAGACUUUAUUUUUGCAACAUUAAACUAUCUUUCUUAUAAACUAUGUUGGCUGCA